AGCAGUCGCCGCGGGAAUACGUAGGUCCCGAGCGUUGUCCGGAUUUAUUGGGCGUAAAGCGAGCGCAGGCGGUUAGAUAAGUCUGAAGUUAAAGGCUGUGGCUUAACCAUAGUACGCUUUGGAAACUGUUUAACUUGAGUGCAAGAGGGGGGAGUGGAAUUCCAUGUGUAGCGGUGAAAUGCGUAGAUAUAUGGAGGAACACCGGUGGCGAAAGCGGCUCUCUGGCUUGUAACUGACGCUGAGGCUCGAAAGCGUGGGGCGCAAACAGGAUUAGAUACCCGGGUAGUCCCUGUCUCUUAUACA
rnacentral:rRNA from 1 species